rnacentral:rRNA from 1 species
GGUUAAGCGACUAAGCGUACACGGUGGAUGCCCUGGCAGUCAGAGGCGAUGAAGGACGUGCUAAUCUGCGAUAAGCGUCGGUAAGGUGAUAUGAACCGUUAUAACCGGCGAUUUCCGAAUGGGGAAACCCAGUGUGAUUCGUCACACUAUCAUUAACUGAAUCCAUAGGUUAAUGAGGCGAACCGGGGGAACUGAAACAUCUAAGUACCCCGAGGAAAAGAAAUCAACCGAGAUUCCCCCAGUAGCGGCGAGCGAACGGGGAGCAGCCCAGAGCCUGAAUCAGUGUGUGUGUUAGUGGAAGCGUCUGGAAAGGCGCGCGAUACAGGGUGACAGCCCCGUACACAAAAAUGCACAUGCUGUGAGCUCGAUGAGUAGGGCGGGACACGUGGUAUCCUGUCUGAAUAUGGGGGGACCAUCCUCCAAGGCUAAAUACUCCUGACUGACCGAUAGUGAACCAGUACCGUGAGGGAAAGGCGAAAAGAACCCCGGCGAGGGGAGUGAAAAAGAACCUGAAACCGUGUACGUACAAGCAGUGGGAGCACGCUUAGGCGUGUGACUGCGUACCUUUUGUAUAAUGGGUCAGCGACUUAUAUUCUGUAGCAAGGUUAACCGAAUAGGGGAGCCGAAGGGAAACCGAGUCUUAACUGGGCGUUAAGUUGCAGGGUAUAGACCCGAAACCCGGUGAUCUAGCCAUGGGCAGGUUGAAGGUUGGGUAACACUAACUGGAGGACCGAACCGACUAAUGUUGAAAAAUUAGCGGAUGACUUGUGGCUGGGGGUGAAAGGCCAAUCAAACCGGGAGAUAGCUGGUUCUCCCCGAAAGCUAUUUAGGUAGCGCCUCGUGAAUUCAUCUCCGGGGGUAGAGCACUGUUUCGGCAAGGGGGUCAUCCCGACUUACCAACCCGAUGCAAACUGCGAAUACCGGAGAAUGUUAUCACGGGAGACACACGGCGGGUGCUAACGUCCGUCGUGAAGAGGGAAACAACCCAGACCGCCAGCUAAGGUCCCAAAGUCAUGGUUAAGUGGGAAACGAUGUGGGAAGGCCCAGACAGCCAGGAUGUUGGCUUAGAAGCAGCCAUCAUUUAAAGAAAGCGUAAUAGCUCACUGGUCGAGUCGGCCUGCGCGGAAGAUGUAACGGGGCUAAACCAUGCACCGAAGCUGCGGCAGCGACACUGUGUGUUGUUGGGUAGGGGAGCGUUCUGUAAGCCUGCGAAGGUGUGCUGUGAGGCAUGCUGGAGGUAUCAGAAGUGCGAAUGCUGACAUAAGUAACGAUAAAGCGGGUGAAAAGCCCGCUCGCCGGAAGACCAAGGGUUCCUGUCCAACGUUAAUCGGGGCAGGGUGAGUCGACCCCUAAGGCGAGGCCGAAAGGCGUAGUCGAUGGGAAACAGGUUAAUAUUCCUGUACUUGGUGUUACUGCGAAGGGGGGACGGAGAAGGCUAUGUUGGCCGGGCGACGGUUGUCCCGGUUUAAGCGUGUAGGCUGGUUUUCCAGGCAAAUCCGGAAAAUCAAGGCUGAGGCGUGAUGACGAGGCACUACGGUGCUGAAGCAACAAAUGCCCUGCUUCCAGGAAAAGCCUCUAAGCAUCAGGUAACAUCAAAUCGUACCCCAAACCGACACAGGUGGUCAGGUAGAGAAUACCAAGGCGCUUGAGAGAACUCGGGUGAAGGAACUAGGCAAAAUGGUGCCGUAACUUCGGGAGAAGGCACGCUGAUACGUAGGUGAAGUCCCUCGCGGAUGGAGCUGAAAUCAGUCGAAGAUACCAGCUGGCUGCAACUGUUUAUUAAAAACACAGCACUGUGCAAACACGAAAGUGGACGUAUACGGUGUGACGCCUGCCCGGUGCCGGAAGGUUAAUUGAUGGGGUCAGCGCAAGCGAAGCUCUUGAUCGAAGCCCCGGUAAACGGCGGCCGUAACUAUAACGGUCCUAAGGUAGCGAAAUUCCUUGUCGGGUAAGUUCCGACCUGCACGAAUGGCGUAAUGAUGGCCAGGCUGUCUCCACCCGAGACUCAGUGAAAUUGAACUCGCUGUGAAGAUGCAGUGUACCCGCGGCAAGACGGAAAGACCCCGUGAACCUUUACUAUAGCUUGACACUGAACAUUGAGCCUUGAUGUGUAGGAUAGGUGGGAGGCUUUGAAGUGUGGACGCCAGUCUGCAUGGAGCCGACCUUGAAAUACCACCCUUUAAUGUUUGAUGUUCUAACGUUGACCCGUAAUCCGGGUUGCGGACAGUGUCUGGUGGGUAGUUUGACUGGGGCGGUCUCCUCCUAAAGAGUAACGGAGGAGCACGAAGGUUGGCUAAUCCUGGUCGGACAUCAGGAGGUUAGUGCAAUGGCAUAAGCCAGCUUGACUGCGAGCGUGACGGCGCGAGCAGGUGCGAAAGCAGGUCAUAGUGAUCCGGUGGUUCUGAAUGGAAGGGCCAUCGCUCAACGGAUAAAAGGUACUCCGGGGAUAACAGGCUGAUACCGCCCAAGAGUUCAUAUCGACGGCGGUGUUUGGCACCUCGAUGUCGGCUCAUCACAUCCUGGGGCUGAAGUAGGUCCCAAGGGUAUGGCUGUUCGCCAUUUAAAGUGGUACGCGAGCUGGGUUUAGAACGUCGUGAGACAGUUCGGUCCCUAUCUGCCGUGGGCGCUGGAGAACUGAGGGGGGCUGCUCCUAGUACGAGAGGACCGGAGUGGACGCAUCACUGGUGUUCGGGUUGUCAUGCCAAUGGCACUGCCCGGUAGCUAAAUGCGGAAGAGAUAAGUGCUGAAAGCAUCUAAGCACGAAACUUGCCCCGAGAUGAGUUCUCCCUGACUCCUUGAGAGUCCUGAAGGAACGUUGAAGACGACGACGUUGAUAGGCCGGGUGUGUAAGCGCAGCGAUGCGUUGAGCUAACCGGUACUAAUGAACCGUGAGGCUUAACCUU